AGAGUUUGAUUAUGGCUCAGGAUGAACGCUGGCGGCGUGCUUAACACAUGCAAGUCGAACGGAGUUUUUAACGGAAGUUUUCGGAUGGAAGUUUAGAAACUUAGUGGCGGACGGGUGAGUAACGCGUGGGUAACCUGCCUCAUACAGGGGGAUAACAGUUAGAAAUGACUGCUAACACCGCAUAAUAUAGCGAAACCGCAUGAUUUUUGCUAUCAAAUAUUUAUAGGUAUGAGAUGGGCCCGCGUCUGAUUAGCUAGUUGGUGGGGUAAAAGCCUACCAAGGCGACGAUCAGUAGCCGGCUUGAGAGAGUGACCGGCCACAUUGGGACUGAGACACGGCCCAAACUCCUACGGGAGGCAGCAGUGGGGAAUAUUGGACAAUGGGGGAAACCCUGAUCCAGCGAACCGCCGCGUGAGUGAAGAAGUAUUUCGGUAUGGUAAAGCUCUAUCAGCAGGGAAGAUAAUGACAGUACCUGACUAAGAAGCCCCGGCUAACUACGUGCCAGCCGCAGC
rnacentral:rRNA from 1 species